rnacentral:rRNA from 1 species
UUGCACGCUGGCGGCAUGCUUUACACCUGCAAGUCGAACGGUAACAGGCCUUCGGGUGCUGACGAGUGGCGAACGGGUGAGUAAUGCAUCGGAACGUACCCAGAGGUGGGGGAUAACGCAGCGAAAGCUGUGCUAAUACCGCAUGUGAUCUGAGGAUGAAAGCGGGGGACCGAGCAGCAAUGUUUGGCCUCGCGCCUUUGGAGCGGCCGAUGUCGGAUUAGCUAGUUGGUGGGGUAAAGGCCUACCAAGGCGACGAUCCGUAGCUGGUCUGAGAGGACGACCAGCCACACUGGGACUGAGACACGGCCCAGACUCCUACGGGAGGCAGCAGUGGGGAAUUUUGGACAAUGGGCGCAAGCCUGAUCCAGCAAUGCCGCGUGCGGGAAGAAGGCCUUCGGGUUGUAAACCGCUUUUGGCAGGAACGAAACGGUGUCCGCUAAUACCGGGCGCUAAUGACGGUACCUGCAGAAUAAGCACCGGCUAACUACGUG